GAUGAACGCUGGCGGCGUGCCUAAUACAUGCAAGUCGAACGCUUUGUGGUUCAACUGAUUUGAAGAGCUUGCUCAGAUAUGACGAUGGACAUUGCAAAGAGUGGCGAACGGGUGAGUAACACGUGGGAAACCUACCUCUUAGCAGGGGAUAGCAUUUGGAAACAGAUGCUAAUACCGUAUAACAAUGACAACCGCAUGGUUGUUAUUUAAAAGAUGGUUCUGCUAUCACUAAGAGAUGGUCCCGCGGUGCAUUAGCUAGUUGGUAAGGUAAUGGCUUACCAAGGCGAUGAUGCAUAGCCGAGUUGAGAGACUGAUCGGCCACAAUGGGACUGAGACACGGCCCAUACUCCUACGGGAGGCAGCAGUAGGGAAUCUUCCACAAUGGGCGAAAGCCUGAUGGAGCAACGCCGCGUGUGUGAUGAAGGGUUUCGGCUCGUAAAACACUGUUGUAAGAGAAGAAUGACAUUGAGAGUAACUGUUCAAUGUGUGACGGUAUCUUACCAGAAAGGAACGGCUAAAUACGUGCCAGCAGCCGCGGUAAUACGUAUGUUCCAAGCGUUAUCCGGAUUUAUUGGGCGUAAAGCGAGCGCAGACGGUUAUUUAAGUCUGAAGUGAAAGCCCUCAGCUCAACUGAGGAAUUGCUUUGGAAACUGGAUGACUUGAGUGCAGUAGAGGAAAGUGGAACUCCAUGUGUAGCGGUGAAAUGCGUAGAUAUAUGGAAGAACACCAGUGGCGAAGGCGGCUUUCUGGACUGUAACUGACGUUGAGGCUCGAAAGUGUGGGUAGCAAACAGGAUUAGAUACCCUGGUAGUCCACACCGUAAACGAUGAGUGCUAGGUGUUUGAGGGUUUCCGCCCUUAAGUGCCGCAGCUAACGCAUUAAGCACUCCGCCUGGGGAGUACGACCGCAAGGUUGAAACUCAAAGGAAUUGACGGGGACCCGCACAAGCGGUGGAGCAUGUGGUUUAAUUCGAAGCAACGCGAAGAACCUUACCAGGUCUUGACAUCCCUUGACAACUCCAGAGAUGGAGCGUUCCCUUCGGGGACAAGGUGACAGGUGGUGCAUGGUUGUCGUCAGCUCGUGUCGUGAGAUGUUGGGUUAAGUCCCGCAACGAGCGCAACCCUUAUUACUAGUUGCCAGCAUUCAGUUGGGCACUCUAGUGAGACUGCCGGUGACAAACCGGAGGAAGGUGGGGAUGACGUCAAAUCAUCAUGCCCCUUAUGACCUGGGCUACACACGUGCUACAAUGGCGUAUACAACGAGUUGCCAACCCGCGAGGGUGAGCUAAUCUCUUAAAGUACGUCUCAGUUCGGAUUGUAGGCUGCAACUCGCCUACAUGAAGUCGGAAUCGCUAGUAAUCGCGGAUCAGCACGCCGCGGUGAAUACGUUCCCGGGUCUUGUACACACCGCCCGUCACACCAUGAGAGUUUGUAACACCCAAAGCCGGUGGGGUAACCUUCGGGAGCCAGCCGUCUAAGGUGGGACAGAUGAUUAGGGUG
rnacentral:rRNA from 1 species